AUCGAACGCUGGCGGCAGGCCUAACACAUGCAAGUCGAACGAGUGGCGGACGGGCGAGUAAUGUCUGGGCAACUGCCUGAUGGAGGGGGAUAACUACUGGAAACGGUAGCUACUACCGCAUACCAUCGGAUGUGCCCAGAUGGGAUGAGCUAGUAGGUGGGGUAAUGGAUCACCUAGGCGACGAUCCCUAGCAGGUCUGAGAGGAUGACCAGCCACACUGGAACUGAGACACGGGCCAGACUCCUACGGGAGGCAGCAGUGGGGAAUAUUGGACAAUGGGCGAAAGCCUGAUGCAGCCAUGCCGCGUGUGUGAAGAAGGUCUUCGGGGUGUAAAGUACUGUCGGCGGGGAGGCGUUACCCACAGAGGAAGCACCGGCUAACUCCGUGCCAGCAGCCGCGGUAAUUC
rnacentral:rRNA from 1 species